GUAGACACAGCCUUUGCUCUCCCGAAAAACACGUUCUAGGCGCCGGGAUUCCAGAUACCUGGGAAAUAGAGUGCACGCAGCUGUUGAGAGGCCUCGCGCUUGGCUUCUCCUAUCACUGAGGCGCAGAGGUGCUGUGGACAGCCCAGACCCACACGGCGCCCGAGGUGAAACAGAACCCUCAGUCUCCCUAUGAGGCCACUGGCACUCUCGGCUGUCCCCAGAGCUCUCCGACUUAGAGCUGAAUGCAAAGUAAGCGCUCGAAAUGCAGAAGUAGCCGGGGCCGCCCACGGCACCUGCCUCGCUCGGGGCGAGAGAAGACGCCAGGCUGAGGUCCCAGCGACCUCAGGCA
rnacentral:lncRNA from 1 species